GAUUCGGUUCAGUGGCUCAGCGUGAUGUGAUUUUGGUUUUGUCUCCGUUCGCUGAAUGCUUGUUCGUUGGAAGAGUACUAUUUCACAAACAGAAGUUUGUUUUUCUAAAGGAGCAAAAAGCUAAUCAAGUUUUCCUUCUCCAGGAAAAUGAUUAA